UACGUAGGUGGCAAGCGUUGUCCGGAUUUACUGGGCGUAAAGAGCGCGCAGGCGGUCGUUCAAGUCGCGUGUGAAAGCCCCCGGCUCAACUGGGGAGGGUCACGCGAUACUGAUCGACUCGAAGGCAGGAGAGGGAAGUGGAAUUCCCGGUGUAGCGGUGAAAUGCGUAGAGAUUAGGAAGAACACCAGUGGCGAAGGCGACUUACUGGACUGUAACUGACGCUGAGGCAUGAAAGCGUGGGGAGCAAACAGG
rnacentral:rRNA from 1 species